rnacentral:rRNA from 1 species
CUACGUAGGGGGCGAGCGUUGUCCGGAUUUACUGGGCGUAAAGGGUACGCAGGCGGCGAUAUAAGUCAGAUGUGAAAUCCUAGGGCUCAACCCUAGUAAGCAUUUGAAACUGUGUGGCUUGAGUUAAGGAGAGGAAAGUGGAAUUCCUGGUGUAGCGGUGAAAUGCGUAGAUAUCAGGAGGAAUACCAGUGGCGAAGGCGACUUUCUGGACUUAUACUGACGCUGAGGUACGAAAGCGUGGGGAGCAAACAGGAUUAGAUACCCUGGUAGUCCACGCCGUAAACGAUGAGUGCUAGGUGUCGGGUGUCAAAGCUCGGUGCCGCAGUUAACACAUUAAGCACUCCGCCUGGGGAGUACGUUCGCAAGAAUGAA